rnacentral:lncRNA from 1 species
GUUUAAUUAGUGCAGAGGUCAUAUUGCAACUAUAUCUUGGUGCCCUUAUUAUAGAAUGGAUAUCAAUUCACUGGAGUCGGUGCAGCGAUGGACAUAAAUGAUUCCGGGAAUUAGUAAACUUCCAUAUCAAGGUAAAGAAACUAAACUUGUGUUCCCUAGAAAGACGGAGUGCGGGGAUAUAUGAUAGAGGUAUUUAAGUGGGUGAAAGAAAUCAAAGGAGAUAUAAAGUUCAUAUAUCCGAGCAGGAUAGGGCCCGUAGCAACGGAAUGAAGUCGGAUAAGUUUAGGUUUAGGAGGGAGAUAGGAAGGAACUGGUUCACAAAUAGGGUGGUAGAUGAGUGGAACAAGCUUAGUAACUUUGUAGUAAGUACUGGAAUGCUGGAAGUUUUAAAAGGGGGCUAGAUAGAUUCAUGGAUGAUAGUGGUAGUAACUCGACGGGAGCUUAAUGCACAGGCUAACCGGCCUAUUGCGGACUCAUGUUCAUACGAUGCAGGUGUGGGGUGUAGGUGUAUGGUGCAGGUUUGUGGUGGUGUACAGUAAAAAAACGUUGACCAAUGAUAGCUACUGCUUAUUUCCGUAAACUAUUGUAGGAAAUCGUCAAUGGAACAGUUUUAAGGAAAUGGUUUGAGAUAUUCUAUUACUUUCGUAUGCAUUGUUUUGUUAUUUUGAGACGUUUUACUUGUGGAGUUUGUUAAUUGACGUUACUGUUUGAAAUUAUUUUUGUUACUUUUAGGAACAUUGGUACAGUAUUUUCAUGAAGAUUUUUGUUACUUUAAAGACUUCUAAAGUCUUUUCUGUAGUUUUUUUAUUACUUUUACGAUAAUUUUACUAAUUUUGGUAUUCGUGCAAGUAUUUUGGUAGUUUUGUUAUUUUCACGUUACUUUGUUUUUAGUGUACUUUUGUGCCAAGAUAAAUUAAAGUUUUUACUUCGUCCUGGGUAAUAAUUGAGUAGGUGGAAACUUUCAAAAAUUGUUUUAUAGAAAUUAUUCAUACUUGUGUCUUGAUACAUAGUUUACAUUAAUAUUUAGUCUUGUAUUCUAGGUUUUAUUCCACUUAUUCAUAUAUUACAUUAAUAGUUAGUCUUCAUUCUAGUUUUUUUGCAACUUGGUGUUCAUAUUGGACGUUGGUGUUCAUAUUGGACGUUGAUGCUCAUAUUGGACGUUGGUGUUCAUAUUGGACGUUGAUGCUCAUAUUGGACGUUGGUGUUCAUAUUGGACGUUGAUGCUCAUAUUGGAUGUUGAUGCUCAUAAUGUAUUCUAUUUUGUAUACAAUUUAAUAUUUUACGUUAAUAUUUAGUAAUUAUUAGUUUUUAUACAACUUAUUCAUAUUUUACGUUAAUAUUUAGUCUUUAUUCUUGUCAUUAUACAUUUUAUUUAUUUUAAGUCGAUAUGAAGUCAUUAUUCUAGUGUUUUUAUUUACAUUAAUAAUAUGUUGUUAAUAUUUAGUCUAGUAUACUAGUUUUUUAAAGUUAUUUACAGUACAGUAUAUUGUUAAAAUUUAGUCUUAUUCUAGUUUUGUUGCUAUUUAUUCAUAUUUUAAUAUUUAGUCCUAUACUAGUUUUUCUACAAUUUAUUAGUUUACGUUAAAAUUUAGUCUAUAUUGUAGUUUUUAUACAACUUCAUAUUUUACGUUAAUAUUCGUAUUUUACAUUAAUAUUAGUUUUUAUUCCAGUUUUUGUACAACUUUAUCAUAUUUUACAUUAAUUUUUAAUAUUUUUUCUAGUUUUUAUACUUCAUGUUAAUAUUUGGUCUUUAUUCUAGUUUAUACAAUUUAUUGCUUGUCACUGUUGAAGGUACAGGACAACCCUCCUCGUUACUGCCUCCUUGAUCGUAAACGUUGACGGUAUUGAAGCUGUCCUCCAUUUGUGGGAUUUGGGGUCAUUUUUAUUAAAGAUGGAUCCAGUUGGUUGUGUUGAUUACUGUUGUGUUAAAGGUGUAGAAGAAAAAGACCAGAUUGCUGCCUCGGUGAUCAUAGUUAAGGAUACAUGAAGUUCCUUGUGUCGUCCAUCGAGGACGGCGAUAUGAAGAUGCAGGACAUAACAACCGUGAGAGUGUCUUCAGGCAAACGGAACUCUUGCUGCACUACAUUAGAAACCAAACUCUUUCUGCAGUUACAACUUAUGGUCCGGGCUAGUCUCAUGGUCGUUUGUUUACUAGUGUAGAUUAAUGAUCUGGGUUCACAAUUUAAAAAUUAAGAGUAAUGAGUAAUUAGUGUUAAUUGCCUUUGAAAUUAUUUUAGUAGGUUAUGUUCUGACCUCGUAGUUUUAAAUGGCCUUUAUAUACAUUUUUAUAAGUACGUAUAGGGUGUUUACUGAGCUAGAAAAGCCAGGAAAUAUUACAAAUACAGUAUAUGUGAAAUUUUAUUUGAAUUCAGUUCAACUUCAAAAUGUUACGUUGACAGCAAUCUUGCCAUAAAGUAAUGCUGUACUGUCACAUGUGAUGGUCUAAAACAUAUAUUUGAUUAAUUGGAGUAUGUAAGUCUUCAUAAAGUGAAGCUGCAUCAAUUUUAUGCUUUUAUGUAUUUUCUACUUGUGCUCAUCAAGACUGGUCUGGCACAGCACAACACAUGUAUUACAAAAUAAAAGUAAC